rnacentral:rRNA from 1 species
AGCAGCCGCGGUAAUUCCAGCUCCAAUAGCGUAUAUUAAAGUUGUUGCAGUUAAAAAGCUCGUAGUUGGAUUUCGGGAUCAAUACGUCGGUCGUGCUUCGGUACGUACUGGCGUAAUUGAUUUCUCCCUUCUGACGAACCAUGAUGUCAUUAACUUGGUGUCAUGGGAAAUCAGGACUGUUACUUUGAAAAAAAUUAGAGUGUUUAAAAGCAAGCUAACGCUUGAAUACAUUAGCAUGGAAUAAUGAAAUAGGACGUUCGAUCCUAUUUUGUUGGUUUCUAGGAUUGACGUAAUGAUUAAUAGGGAUAGUUGGGGGCAUUAGUAUUCAAUUGUCAGAGGUGAAAUUCUUGGAUUUAUUGAAGACUAACUACUGCGAAAGCAUUUGCCAAGGAUGUUUUCAUUAAUCAAGAACGAAAGUUAGGGGAUCGAAGACGAUCAGAUACCGUCGUAGUCUUAACCA